AAUGAACGCUGGCGGCAGGCCUAACACAUGCAAGUCGAGCGGUCCUUCGGGACAGCGGCGGACGGGUUAGUAACGCGUGGGAACGUGCCUCUCUCUACGGAAUAGCCACUGGAAACGGUGAUUAAUACCGUAUACGCCCGCAAGGGGAAAGAUUUAUCGGAGAGAGAUCGGCCCGCGUUGGAUUAGAUAGUUGGUGGGGUAACGGCCUACCAAGUCGACGAUCCAUAGCUGGUUUGAGAGGAUGAUCAGCAACACUGGGACUGAGACACGGCCCAGACUCCUACGGGAGGCAGCAGUGGGGAAUCUUCGGCAAUGGGGGAAACCCUGACCGAGCCAUGCCGCGUGAACGAUGAAGGCCUUAGGGUUGUAAAGUUCUUUCAUCAGGGAAGAUAAUGACGGUACCUGAAGAAGAAGCCCCGGCUAACUCCG
rnacentral:rRNA from 1 species